GCCAUGAUCGUGUAGUGGUUAGUACUCUGCGUUGUGGCCACAGCAAACCUGGUUCGAAUCUGCGUCACGGCA